GAUGAACGCUGGCGGCGUGCCUAAUACAUGCAAGUCGAGCGAACGGACGAGAAGCUUGCUUCUCUGAUGUUAGCGGCGGACGGGUGAGUAACACGUGGAUAACCUACCUAUAAGACUGGGAUAACUUCGGGAAACCGGAGCUAAUACCGGAUGAUAUUUUGAACCGCAUGGUUCAAAAGUGAAAGACGGUCUUGCUGUCACUUAUAGAUGGACCCGCGCUGCAUUAGCUAGUUGGUAAGGUAACGGCUUACCAAGGCAACGAUGCAUAGCCGACCUGAGAGGGUGAUCGGCCACACUGGAACUGAGACACGGUCCAGACUCCUACGGGAGGCAGCAGUAGGGAAUCUUCCGCAAUGGGCGAAGGCCUGACGGAGCAACGCCGCGUGAGUGAUGAAGGUCUUCGGAUCGUAAAACUCUGUUAUUAGGGAAGAACAUAUGUGUAAGUAACUGUGCACAUCUUGACGGUACCUAAUCAGAAAGCCACGGCUAACUACGUG
rnacentral:rRNA from 1 species